rnacentral:rRNA from 1 species
UACGUAGGGUGCGAGCGUUAAUCGGAAUUACUGGGCGUAAAGCGUGCGCAGGCGGUGAUGUAAGACAGAUGUGAAAUCCCCGGGCUCAACCUGGGAACUGCAUUCAAAACUGACGAGCUAGAGUAUGGUAGAGGGUGGUGGAAUUUCCUGUGUAGCGGUGAAAUGCGCAGAUAUCAGGAGGAACACCGAUGGCGAAGGCAGGUCUCUGGGCAUUAAACUGACGCUGAGGAGCGAAAGCAUGGGGAGCGAACAGG